rnacentral:rRNA from 1 species
UCGAGGGGUAUAUUUCUUCGAAGAUAGAGACCGGCGCACGGGUGCGUAACGCGUAUGCAAUCUACCUUUCACAGAGGGAUAGCCCAGAGAAAUUUGGAUUAAUACCUCAUAGUAUUACGAAAUGGCAUCAUUUUGUAAUUAAAGUCACAACGGUGAAAGAUGAGCAUGCGUCCCAUUAGCUAGUUGGUAAGGUAACGGCUUACCAAGGCUACGAUGGGUAGGGGUCCUGAGAGGGAGAUCCCCCACACUGGUACUGAGACACGGACCAGACUCCUACGGGAGGCAGCAGUGAGGAAUAUUGGACAAUGGGCGCAAGCCUGAUCCAGCCAUGCCGCGUGCAGGAUGACGGUCCUAUGGAUUGUAAACUGCUUUUGCACAGGAAGAAACAACGCUACGUGUAGCGUCUUGACGGUACUGUGAGAAUAAGGAUCGGCUAACUCCGUGCCAGCAGCCGCGGUAAUACGGAGGAUCCAAGCGUUAUCCGGAAUCAUUGGGUUUAAAGGGUCCGUAGGCGGUUUAGUAAGUCAGUGGUGAAAGCCCAUCGCUCAACGGUGGAACGGCCAUUGAUACUGCUA